UACUGUGUCAAAAACAAUUUGUAUUUAAUACACAUGAUGUGGAAAUGAACAAUAAGUUUGUUGCAAAAGAGGUUCAAAUUGGCUCAGGUUUAACUGUGAUUUGGUCUCACCAAAUUCCUGUGUUUUUGGAAUACUGCAGAACAGCAUAAAAGAUUAUGUCAUAGGAUUAGGGAGAAAGGUUGCUGGUGGCAUAACAAAUUUUCCCUUCUCGGACCUCAAAAGCCACAUCACAAAUUGAAGAAUUUGUUUGCAAGAAAGCACAGUGUUGAAAAAAAACAUGUUGUGAAAAAAUGAACUUUUUUAUAUUUGCUCUGUGUGCGCGCCCGGAUGAUGAGCACAAAGCGGUCCUUGACAAAGGAAAGCUGGAUUUGUUGAUAGAUUAUGACAUAGGAUGGGGGAGAAUCGUGGACCUGAACAAUACUGUGAUAGAGAGGAAUUCCUACUCAAGAAAGCAGUUUAAAAAACACAGUCAAUGUGAAAGAGUGAACUUUUUUAUUUUGGCCGUGUAUAAGAACAGUUUGUUUUUUAAAAAGUGCAUGUCUAUCAAAUUAUUUUUUAUGUAUAUAUAUUGAAUAUUUUUGUUGUUUGUCUUUAAAAGCUACAUUGUAUCUUAAAAGUAUCAUCAAAAUGCGGAACGAAAAUGCAUACAUUUUCCGCAUAAGUUCCACAUUUUUUGUGACUGC